GGUGGUCCACCAAAUUGUAUCGGAAAAACAGUAAAUUCUGAACGAAUGCAAAAAAUAAUCCUGGUCUGCAAGAAUCCCGACGAUGACAAAACAACAAACACAACACAGACCCAAGUGAAUUCAAAGGAAACCUGGAACGAGGGAACGUAGUUGAUAAUGAUGCAUAAAUGAAUCAAAUUAACUGGAGAAAGUACAAACGGGAUAUCUGUCGCGUCAUACUGCAUCCUUGGCUUACAAAGGAGAAU